GGCACGCACAAGCACAAACAAAUGUCACACAUGGCGGACACAAAGUGACAAGUCUCAACAGAAUUAAGCAUUUUCUCAUGUCAUGUCGGAGAAGUUCUCAACCGCUGAUUUUGUAUACAGCUGUACUUAGUAUUUCUAAUUUAAUUUUUACGUCUACCGAAUUGCGGUGAGCUCAUAGCUGGCUACGGGCAUGGACGUGAGAUGACCAGGGUGAGAACCCCUGGUCUGGGCAUUCUGCCUCAUUGAAGGAUUAUUUCCUACAGCCUCAGUGGUGGCGGUCGUGCCUCAUAUGUUGAACCAAGUAAGGUGUGGCCUCACUCUGCUGCCGUCAGCCAUAUCGGCAGCAUGCUAGUCACAGCUUUUCAUCUGUUCAGUUUAUUCUUUUUAGGUCUGGCUGCCGUCCCGGUGCCCGUUCAACCCGGGGAUCUGACCCUCCAGCCGGGCGCUGCCAUCACGCUCACCUGCAGUCUGGCGUCCGACAUGUCGAGCUACACUAUGCUCUGGUACCGACAGCAAGUCUACGGUGAUCCCAUCGAGUUCAUCAUCCAAGAAUACGACACCAGUCGGGGUCGCUUCAAAGCCACUCUGGACACAAACCAGAACCGCUUCUCGCUGGGAAUAAGCGAGUUGCAGGUGAACGACAGCGGGACGUUCUACUGCGCAGCCUAUCCCCGCGACACGCCUGGGUGCAGCAGGCGUACACAUACCGUCACUGGGCUACGUUCAUAGCGCUGUGGAGGAGCGGGUAUCACAGAUGUCGAGGGUGCCGUGAGACCUCGUGGUUUUGAUAGAAGUCGAGAUAGCCAACUGUCAGGCCGGCGGUUUGAUUGGUGAAUAUGCAAGCUAUGCAGGCGUUCUCAAAACAGUGCAGUUGUUAUCAUUAUUUAUUAUUGAAGGUUUAGUUACACAUGGACAGUGCAAAUUAAUAAACAUGAAAAAUU